GCGAGGGUGGCGGAACUGGUAGACGCGCACGGUUCAGGUCCGUGUGGCUGCAAAGCCGUGGGGGUUCAAGUCCCUUUCCUCGCACAA
rnacentral:tRNA from 1 species